AUAUCAUUUAUAAUGUGUUAGAGCAGUCUCUAUGACUGGAUCUCUCCUCUGGUUUUGCGCAGCAUGCUAUAACACCCAAUAAUGCACAGCCAGGUUGAUGUCACUAGAAUCUGCAUAUAAGCACUGGCUUCUGGGACUCAUGAGACAGGACCUGACUUUGGAUUGAGAAUGUACAGAAAGCCCAUAGGAAACAUUUUCUGCAUCGUGACAGGUCAACAUCGACAUUUUAGAGCCCCACCCUUCAAAGUGUGGUCCUUGAAGAUUUCCAGAUCUUGUCCUCUGACCUGCUGCAGUUGUGUGAGAGGCUCUUGGUGUAAAUAGAAUCUGAUGGCAGAAUCACCCCAGCAGUGGGGGCUCCAGGCCACAAAAUAUCUACAGCCAUGACCGUAACAACCACACCUACCUGUAAGCUGUGAUACUGGAGUAAAAUAUUCCUGUCAUUCCUCUUACCCAAGCUAACUGAUUAAGGACAGGUGAUAUCACAUAUGGGUUUAGGAUCUGAAGCUCUACCAGGGAAGUUCCAUUGUCUAUUCUGUUCCCACAGAAUCAGUCUCAGUGUUUCCUGUUUGGAUUGCCAUGGGGACAUCAACCCAGAGUGACUAUAGACCCUCUUCCCAGCACCUGAGAGUCUUUGAGACAUUUGAGGUUGUUGUGUGCAGACUGGGAUGGGAGUUGUUCCAGUUUUCACUUGGGUGAAAAACAAGGAGAGCUGGAGACUGAUCAACCAAUUACUUUCAUUUCAUAUGGCGAUUAGAAAAACAGAUGAGGCAAUCAUAAUCUCUGCAAUCCAGGAACUGUGUCUGUGGCAAAUGAAUAAAUGGCUGAAUUUCA